CCUACGGGAGGCAGCAGUAAGGAAUAUUGGACAAUGGGGGAAACCCUGAUCCAGCAAUGCCGCGUGAAUGAAGAAGGCCUUCGGGUUGUAAAGUUCUUUCGCUUACGAGGAUAAUGACAGUAGUAAGAUAAGAAGGUCCGGCUAACUCUGUGCCAGCAGCCGCGGUGAGACAGAGGGACCUAGCGUUGUUCGGAAUAACUGGGCGUAAAGGGUGCGUAGGUUGUUACUUAAGUAAAGUGUUAAAUCCUUGGGCUUAACCCAAGAAUCGCGCUUUAAACUGGGUGACUAGAGUGUGGGAAAGGAAAGUGGAAUUCCUAGUGUAGAGGUGGAAUUCGUAGAUAUUAGGAGGAACACCAGAGGCGAAGGCGGCUUUCUAGAACACAACUGACACUGAGGCACGAAAGCGUGGGGAGCAAACAGGAUUAGAUACCCGAGUAGUC
rnacentral:rRNA from 1 species